GGACAGGCACCUGAGGCUCUGUUAGCCUUGGCUGUGGGUCCAGCUCCUUAGAGCAGAGGC
ensembl:miRNA